rnacentral:rRNA from 1 species
CAGCCGCCGCGGUAAUACGAAGGGUGCAAGCGUUACUCGGAAUUACUGGGCGUAAAGCGUGCGUAGGUGGUGGUUUAAGUUCGUUGUGAAAGCCCUGGGCUCAACCUGGGAAUUGCAGUGGAUACUGGGUCACUAGAGUGUGGUAGAGGAUAGUGGAAUUUCCGGUGUAGCAGUGAAAUGCGUAGAGAUCGGAAGGAACAUCUGUGGCGAAGGCGACUAUCUGGGCCAACACUGACACUGAGGCACGAAAGCGUGGGGAGCAAACAGGAUUAGAUACCCGCGUAGUCCCUGUCUCUUAUAC